rnacentral:misc_RNA from 1 species
GAUGAAGAACGCAGCGAAAUGCGAUAAGUAAUGUGAAUUGCAGAAUUCAGUGAAUCAUCGAAUCUUUGAACGCACAUUGCGCCCGCCAGUAUUCUGGCGGGCAUGCCUGUCUGAGCGUCAUUUCAACCCUCAUGCCCCUAGGGCGUGGUGUUGGGGAUCGGCCAAAGCCCGCGAGGGACGGCCGGCCCCUAAAUCUAGUGGCGGUCUCGCUGUAGCCUCCUCUGCGUAGUAGCACACCUCGCACCGGAACGCAGCCUGGCCACGCCGUUAAACCCCCCACUUCUGAAGGUUGACCUCGGAUCAGGUAGGAAUACCCGCUGAACUUAAGCAUAUCAAUAAGCGGAGGA